rnacentral:rRNA from 1 species
UGAGGAAUAUUGCGCAAUGGGGGCAACCCUGACGCAGCAACGCCGCGUGAGUAAGGAAGGUUUUCGGACCGUAAAGCUCUGUCGAGUGGGAAGAAAUGUAUCGUGGCUAAUAUCCAUGAUACUUGACGGUACCGCUAAAGGAAGCACCGGCUAACUCCGUGCCAGCAGCCGCGGUAAUACGGGGGGUGCGAGCGUUGUUCGGAAUUAUUGGGCGUAAAGAGCGUGUAGGCGGCUGAAUAAGUCAGAUGUGAAAUCCCUGGGCUUAACCCAGGAAGUGCAUUUGAAACUAUUCAGCUUGAGUAGGGGAGAGGAAAGUGGAAUUCCUGGUGUAGAGGUGAAAUUCGUAGAUAUCAGGAGGAACACCGGUGGCGAAGGCGACUUUCUGGCCCUAUACUGACGCUGAGACGCGAGAGCGUGGGUAGCAAACA